rnacentral:pre_miRNA from 1 species
CCGAAAAUACUUGUCAUCAAAAUGGAUAAAAAGAGAUGUAUCUAAAACUAAAAUACGUCUAGAUACAUUUCCUUUUAUCCAUUUUGAUGACAAGUAUUUCCGGACGGAGGGAGUAUUUG